rnacentral:rRNA from 1 species
AACGAACGCUGGCGGCAGGCCUAACACAUGCAAGUCGAACGCGACGCCCGGGGCUCGGCGCGCAGGUGCGCGUAGCGCGGGGGCGCCCGCCCUUGGGCUCGGAAUCACCGGCCGACAGGGGUUCUAACACGGGAAGCUGUCAUCGGGCCAAAGUUAUAUCGCCAUUAGCUGGGCCCGCGUUUGAUUAGCUAGUUGGUAGGGUAACCGCCUACCAAGGCGACGAACAGUAGCUGGUCUGAGAGGAUGAUCAGCCACACUGGGACUGAGACACGGCCCAGACUCCUACGGGAGGCAGCAGGGGGGAAUAUUGGACAAUGGGCGAAAGCCUGAUCCAGCCAUGCCGCGUGAGUGAUGAAGGCCUUAGGGUUGUAAAGCUCUUUUGUCCGGGAAGAUAAUGACUGUACCGGAAGAAUAAGCCCCGGCUAACUUCGUG